UACAGAGGUCCCGAGCGUUGUUCGGAUUCACUGGGCGUAAAGGGUGCGUAGGUGGUGAGGUAAGUCGGAUGUGAAAUCUCCGAGCUCAACUCGGAAAUGGCAUUGGAAACUACCUUGCUCGAGGGUUGGAGGGGGGACUGGAAUACUUGGUGUAGCAGUGAAAUGCGUAGAUAUCAAGUGGAACACCAGUGGCGAAGGCGAGUCCCUGGACAACUCCUGACACUGAGGUGCGAAGGCGUGGGGAGCAAACAGG
rnacentral:rRNA from 1 species